rnacentral:rRNA from 1 species
UACGAAAGGGGCUAGCGUUGUUCGGAAUUACUGGGCGUAAAGCGCACGUAGGCGGCCUUGAAAGUUGGGGGUGAAAUCCCGGAGCUCAACUCCGGUACUGCCUUCAAGACUGCAAAGCUCGAGGACGCGAGAGGUUAGCGGAAUUCCGAGUGUAGAGGUGAAAUUCGUAGAUAUUCGGAAGAACACCAGUGGCGAAGGCGGCUAACUGGCGCGUUUCUGACGCUGAGGUGCGAAAGCGUGGGUAGCAAACAGG